rnacentral:rRNA from 1 species
AAAGUUGUUGCGGUUAAAAAGCUCGUAGUUGAAAUUGUGUCCUGCGGUGUCGGUCUACCGAUUGCGGUACGACAGGCACGUCUGCGGGGCUUCUCGCCGGUGCGUCCACCGCCGGCGUGCGUCGGUCGUCCUCACGGUCGGCCGCGCACCGAGGCGGGCCGUCGCGGCUGUUUACUUUGAACAAAUUAGAGUGCUCAAAGCGGGCUAACACUUGCCUGAAUAUUGUACGCAUGGAAUAAUAGAAUAGGACCUCGGUUCUGUUUUGUUGGCUUUCUGAUACCAGAGGUAAUGAUUAAUAGGGACAACUGGGGGCAUUCGUAUUGCGACGUUAGAGGUGAAAUUCUUGGAUCGUCGCAAGACGGACUAAAGCGAAAGCAUUUGCCAAAGGUGUUUUCAUUAAUCAAGAACGAAAGUUAGAGGUUCGAAGGCGAUUAGAUACCGCUGUAGUUCUAACCAUAAAUGAUGCCAGCCAGCGAUCCGCCGAAGUUUCAUAAUUUUAACCCGGUGGGCAGCUCCCGGGAAACCAAAGCUUUC